AUCUGUGGGCAAACCACCCUGAACACCCCGGAUCUCCUCUGAUAGCAGAAGCUAAGCAGGGUGGGACCUGGUUAGAAUUUGGAUGGGUGACCACUUUUGGGUACCCGGUAUUGUAAUUC
ensembl:rRNA 5S_rRNA 5S ribosomal RNA